UACGUGGGGUCCGAGCGUUGUUCGGAAUUACUGGGCGUAAAGCGCACAUAGGCGGGCGAGAUAGUCGAUUGUGAAAGCCCUAGGCUAAACCUGGGAACUGCAGUCGAAACUUCUCGUCUUGAAUGCCUGAGAGGGUGGGGGAAUUCCUGGUGGAGUAGUGAAAUACGUAGAGAUCAGGAGGAACACCGGAGGCGAAGGCGCCUGCCUGGCGGUGCAUUGACGCUAAUUGUGCGAAAGCGCGGGGAGCAAACAGG
rnacentral:rRNA from 1 species